rnacentral:rRNA from 1 species
UACGAAGGUCCCAAGCGUUAUCCGGAUUUAUUGGGUUUAAAGGGUGCGUAGGCGGCUUUGUAAGUCAGUGGUGAAAUAUGGCAGCUCAACUGUCAAGGUGCCAUUGAUACUGCGGAGCUUGAGUACAGAUGAGGUAGGCGGAAUUGACGGUGUAGCGGUGAAAUGCUUAGAUAUCGUCAAGAACACCGAUAGCGAAGGCAGCUUACUAGGCUGUAACUGACGCUGAGGCACGAAAGUGUGGGGAUCAAACAGG